GACGAACGCUGGCGGCGUGCUUAACACAUGCAAGUCGAACGGAAAGGCCCUGCUUGCAGGGUACUCGAGUGGCGAACGGGUGAGUAACACGUGGGUGAUCUGCCCUGCACUUCGGGAUAAGCCUGGGAAACUGGGUCUAAUACCGGAUAGGAGCCAUUUUUAGUGUGAUGGUUGGAAAGUUUUUUCGGUGUAGGAUGAGCUCGCGGCCUAUCAGCUUGUUGGUGGGGUAAUGGCCUACCAAGGCGGCGACGGGUAGCCGGCCUGGGAGGGGGGACGGCCACAUUGGGAAUUAGAUACGGCCCAGACUCCUACGGGAGGCAGGAGUGGGGAAUAUUGGACAAUGGGCGCAAGCCUGAUGGAGGGACGCCGCGGGGGGGAUGACGGCCUUCGGGUUGUAAACUCCUUUCGCUAGGGACGAAGCUUUUUGUGACGAUACCUAGAGAAGAAGCACCGGCUAACUACGUG
rnacentral:rRNA from 1 species